CCGCCGGAGGCUACUGCUAUCGGGGUUCGAUUAAGCCAUGCGAGUUAAAUGUUCUUCGUGAACAUAGCGAACUGCUCAGUAACACGUGGAUAACCUACCCUUAGGACCGGAAUAACCCCGGGAAACUGGGGAUAAUACCGGAUAAGCCAUAGACGCUGGAAUGCCCUAUGGUUCAAAGCUCCGGCGCCUAAGGAUGGAUCUGCGGUCUAUCAGGUUGUAGUGGGUGUAACGUACCUACUAGCCGACGACGGAUACGGGUUGUGAGAGCAAGAGCCCGGAGAUGGAUUCUGAGACACGAAUCCAGGCCCUACGGGGUGCAGCAGGCGCGAACACUUUACAAUGCGGGAAACCGCGAUAAGGGAACCCCGAGUGCCAGCAUCAAAUGUUGGCUGUCCAGAUGGUUAAAAAUCAUUUGUUAGCAAGGGCCGGGCAAGACCGGUGCCAGCCGCCGCGGUAACACCGGCGGCCCGAGUGGUAGCCGUUUUUAUUGGGUCUAAAGGGUCCGUAGCCGGCCUGAUAAGUCCUUUGGGAAAUCUGACAGCUUAACUGUCAGGCUUCUAAGGGAUACUGUCAGGCUUGGGACCGGAAGAGGUAAGGGGUACUCCAGGGGUAGGAGUGAAAUCUUGUAAUCCCUGGGGGACCAUCUGUGGCGAAGGCGCCUUACCAGAACGGGUCCGACGGUGAGGGACGAAAGCUAGGGGAGCAAACCGGAUUAGAUACCCGGGUAGUCCUAGCUGUAAACGAUGCUCGCUAGGUGUCAGACACGGUGCGACCGUGUUUGGUGCCGCAGGGAAGCCGUUAAGCGAGCCACCUGGGAAGUACGGUCGCAAGGCUGAAACUUAAAGGAAUUGGCGGGGGAGCACUACAACGGGUGGAGCCUGCGGUUUAAUUGGAUUCAACGCCGGG
rnacentral:rRNA from 1 species